GCUUCCGUAGCCCAAUCGGUAGAGGCGCGGCGUUCAGAACGCCGUCAGUGCGGGUUCGAAUCCCGCCGGGAGCA
rnacentral:tRNA from 1 species